rnacentral:rRNA from 1 species
GAUGAACGCUAGCGGGAGGCUUAACACAUGCAAGCCGAGCGGUAGAGUUUCUUCGGAAACUUGAGAGCGGCGCACGGGUGCGUAACACGUGUGCAACCUACCUUUAUCUGGGGGAUAGCCUUUCGAAAGGAAGAUUAAUACCCCAUAAUAUAAUGAUUGGCAUCAAUUAUUAUUGAAAACUCCGGUGGAUAGAGAUGGGCACGCGCAAGAUUAGAUAGUUGGUGAGGUAACGGCUCACCAAGUCAAUGAUCUUUAGGGGUCCUGAGAGGGAGAUCCCCCACACUGGUACUGAGACACGGACCAGACUCCUACGGGAGGCAGCAGUGAGGAAUAUUGGACAAUGGGUGAGAGCCUGAUCCAGCCAUCCCGCGUGAAGGAUGACGGUCCUAUGGAUUGUAAACUUCUUUUGUACAGGGAUAAACCUACCCUCGUGAGGGUAGCUGAAGGUACUGUACGAAUAAGCACCGGCUAACUCCGUG